rnacentral:lncRNA from 1 species
CGUCAGAAGCAACUAAACAUUGAUCAACUUCACUAUCAGUUGACAACAGAGAAUCGUCGGGCCAGCGAAGAAAUGAAUGUUUUGAAGCAGCAGAACUCUGAUCUCAAGCUGCCGGUAACCCAAGCAAGACAACAGGCUGACCAAUUUUACAAAACGGGUUUGGAGAGAAAUAUUGAUGCCGUAUCAUUAUAAUAAACCAGUUGUCAGCAUGCAUUAAAAUUGGAUCUUGCCAGUCACGGAAAACCUUUGAAUACGUACAAUCCAGAAAGUCAGUUUAUACAAGACCUUCGAGAGAAAGUCAAGCUGCUCAACGGAUUAAUGGAUUAACAAAAGAACGCGAACAGUUGAUUAAAAUUGGGAAAUAAGCUGACAGCUGAAUUGUUGAAAUAUAAAGGGUUUCACUGAGGAAGAAAGACAACUUCAACAGAAUAUUCGCAAAUUACAAAACCAACUCGAAGCUAAAGAACAGGAACAUCGUCAAAGGGAAUGGAAACUUGUGGACAAACUGAAGGAAAAUGAUGUCACAAUACAUACGCUAAAUCAAUCAAUCGCAAACUUAAAGAGCAAGAUGGACUAACAGAACCAGGAAUAUUCCAGAUUAACUGUAGCAAAGGAUGUUGAACUGGAAACGUUGCAUCAACAGGAUGCCAAUAUGAGAUCUGAACUCGCGCAGAGAAAAAAUAAUUUUGAGAGGAGGCAGAAAGAGUUGUCUUUAUCUUUGGAAAGAGAGUCGUCGUUGGAACGUUCUAGGGCUCAGCUAGAGUUAGAUUGGCAGCGCAGAUAUGAAUAGGAAGAAAGAACUGGGUACAUAUGAUAAACAAGGAGAACUAGUUAAGAAUUUAACACAAGGCAAAGAAGAGGCGUUAUCGUUGGUGUAACAACAGAAACGUGAACUGCUUCACAAGGAUAGUGUU